CACGUGGGUAACCUACCUCAUAGGGGGGGGAUAACAGUCGGAAACGACUGCUAAUACCGCAUAGGACAUGGAAUCACAUGAUCCAGUGAGGAAAGGUGGUGCAAGCUAUCGCUAAGAGAUGGACCCGCGGUGCAUUAGCUAGUUGGUAGGGUAAAGGCCUACCAAGGCGAUGAUGCAUAGCCGACCUGAGAGGGUGAUCGGCCACAUUGGGACUGAGACACGGCCCAAACUCCUACGGGAGGCAGCAGUAGGGAAUCUUCCGCAAUGGACGCAAGUCUGACGGAGCAACGCCGCGUGAGUGAAGAAGGUCUUCGGAUCGUAAAGCUCUGUUGUUAGAGAAGAAGCAGGCGCAUAGAGUUUUCUCUUAUGCAU
rnacentral:rRNA from 1 species